AGAGCAACGAACUAGACAGUUCAUUCCUUUCUUCCUUUCUUGUUUUCUUUCUAAAAUAGAAUCGAGUGUGAGGAAAAAGAAUUUUGCAAGCUUCACCAUCAGCUAACCAAAAUAAAGCAAACAAAGGCAGAGAGACAGGAGAGAUAGCUGGUGCAGACGUGAGGGAACAAGCUGGAAAGAAAAUCUAAUCCUGUCUGCAAUUCCUAACACUAAAAGGCAAAAGGUAAAUUUUUGUGACUAAUCUCUACUUACUGAGUAUAAAUAAGUGUAUAUUCGAAUUGUAAGCCGAGUAUUAGCAGAGGAAAUUGAGCUUCGACUGAGGAAAAAUUCUGGUUUGAAAUCUGAAGGUUCACUGACUGGACCUGUGAGAAUUGAGUGAUGAUCGACUGAAAUUGCAGGUUGUUAUCAAAGGAAAAUGGAAGAGUGUUGUAGAAAAUGUAUGAAAAUGCCUGUUUCUGGCAUAAAGUGAAAUUUAGCUGUAGAAACUUGUAAAAGUUGGAACUUUAAGCUGAAUUUAUUGAAAGAAACCUGAUGAAAAUCUGUUAGCUUCACACGAGAGAAAUGGAGCUAAGAAACAUUAGCUGUCUUCUGCAAAUUUGGCUUUUAAACUUUUGUAUCAAGCUGUGAUGUGUUAUAAAACAUCUUAACUUCGUCAAGCAAGACAGAAAUGAGUGGAAACUAAAGUGAACGAAGAAUGAAUUUAAUUGACUGCAGGUAGGUUGGCCGAGGGAAUGAAGCAGGCUAUGCAACUUGUUGUUGCUGAUUCUGGAACUUUUAUUAAUGAACACAUAGAAAAUAUGUUAAUCCCUUGAUUUAACAGAUAGGUGCCUUUGAAAUUAGCAACCUUAAGAAAAGUCUAGCUGAAUUUGGUAAAAGAAAGCUGAUGCAAUCUGCUAUGAUACUAAAGGGAAGGAAAUCAGCUUUUGGAGCAGCUUGUCUUCUAAUGUCUGAUUCUGUGAACUUCCACAGGUAGAACUAAGGUUACUCUGUGGUUUAGUAACUAUGACUAGUUCCAUGAGUAGAGUUGAACUAAGGCAAAUAGGGAGGAAAACUAUGAAAUGUGCUGCUGAAUUACCUCAUGGCCGAGAGAAGAAGGGAAGAGUUGAUCAGUCUUUUCCUCUAAGUUAGCUGCAAAAUUUUCCACGUUCUGUACAGGGUUACUUUGUAGCUUAAUAAAUGUAAUUAACCUGUCUAGUUGGGAUAUAAAAUUGGAAGGAGGAACUUGAGAGAAACGGCAAACGUUGGACUGAUAUAUUGCUAGGAAGCUACUUGAAGGCCACGAUAGCUGAUGGCAGUUUUUGUAGGGGAAUUUGGUCGAAAAACCUGUUGAAAUUAUGAGUCAUGUACCUUAAUUCAUGUUGGACAGAAUGUGUAUUGUGUGUUUGGUGAUCUAGGCAAGUAAAAGUUAGAAACUCUACCAAAAACUUUGAAGUAAGGUUGCUGGAAAUUUGUUUAAUGGCCGAGAGAGGGGCUGAAACUCUCAUGUGAUAUUUGGAAAAUUUCAUGAUAAUUGGCUACCAUCUUGAAUGAGACGUUGUACAAUAUCCUGUCACUGUUCUUAUGUGCACUCUAUUGACUUUUAACAUCUGAAAGGUUGGUAAAACCUUAGGAAAUUCUAGCUAAAACUAGUAAAGAAAAGCUGAGAUCCAAACUAUUACAUUGUUGGAGAAACUAACGUUUGAUGGAAUGGAUUGCUGGAAAUAGAUGCUGCUUACCUUGAUCUAUGCUAGACCGAAAGUACAUUGAAAUACUUAAAACUGUAAGCAAGUAAAAGAGUAAAGUUUUAUUGAAAACUUGAAGUAUACAGCUGGAAUUUCGGUUUGUUGGUUGAAAUGGGGGUUAGUUAAGCUUUCUAUGAUAUUUUUGGAAACUCUAAGGUAACUCGUUAUAGCUAUAUACAUAACAUGGUUUCAAAUCACCUAAUCUUGUCCUCACAAGCAUUUUAAAGAUUUUAGAACUUGAAAGAUUUUAGAACUUGAAGGACUAGUAUAGAGAAAUAAAAUCUAAAUUACAAAUGGCUUAAAGUUAAUUAAUAAAAGGGAAUCAAUGGAGUGUUCCUAAGCUUUAAUCUUAGAAUAUUCAGUGGAAAAUGGUUUAAUUAUAAUUUAAAUAUUUUAUAAAUUAUACACUUGGAAAAUACAUAUAUUUCUUGGUUUAAAAUGAUAAAGUCAAAAAGUCGCGAAAUGAAAUGUAGAAUAAAUAUUGAAUAUAUUAUAUUUUGUAUUUUGAAGUCAAACUUGAUUUUAAUAGUUCAAAUAAUAGGGUAAUAAAUGGUAAAUGAACAUUUACAAAUUGUAUAUUUUUUUAGAGUUAUAAAUUGUCUCAGGGGAUAGCUGUGAGCCAGGAAACAAACCCGAGACUCGAGAGUAAUUUAUUUGGAUAUUUGGUGAGUGUUUCCAAAAUUUAAUGUGUUUAACUGUUUAUGUUUACUGUCGCGCCCCUUUUUUGAGAAAACUAAAUAAACGGUUUAAAAAGUGAAUUUUUGAUUUGAAAAAUGAAUCUUUGAUUUAAAAAGAAAAAUGGGCCUAAAUGGACUUGUAAUGCGACGAUUUGGGCCCAAAAUAAGGUUUAAAAAGGGUUUUUGAAUAGAAAAUCGGAGUCGCCACUUGGUAUUGAGUUAAGGUGUACCAAGUCACCUAAAAAUGAAUUUUGAUGAAAUCAUGUAAAACCCUUUUUAAACGACUCCUAAGUCUACGAAAAUUAGAGAAAAAAGAUUCGGGAGUCACAUUUGAAGAAAGGGAAGGCAAGGACAAAAAUCCGAGGCAUCCUUUCAACCUAGCCAAGGCUAGUUGCGUGAUUUAGUCAAAGAUUUUCUUGUUUUAACCUAAAGAUUUAUCACAUUUGAAUUGCUAUAUGAAUGCAAACUGUAGACACCAAAUUUUUACUCUUUUAUUUAUUUAUUUACUAUUUUUGUUUAAUUUAUCUCAAAAUUUCAUUUUUUUAGCAUUUUGGACAUCAAAUCUUUUAAUUUAGUUUUACUUGUUAAUUUUAUUCAUUUUUGCUUAUUUGUCUAUUAGUUUUAAGACGUUUAAGCAUUAAUAUUUUUCGGGAAAAAAGAGAAUUGCUCACAAAAAAAAUAUUCUUUAAAUUUUAGAUUCAAUUUAGGGAGGUUUGCUAUUUAUUUAUUUUGUUAAAAAAAAAAAGGGCUCAUGCACCAUGCGGCACUGGAUCCAAGCUCUUUCUCAAUAUUUCAAGGCAGAAACAAGCUUCAGACAUCACAAAAAAAUUGCAGCUGGCUUUUUCUUCCCAUUUGAUUCGUUACUCAAAGGGUUCCCAGUACAAACGGGAUCAAAGGGCAAGAGCAGGCCACAUAAACCCAUUUCUGGGGUUUGACAUCUCGGCCUUCCAUCGUAGGUUGAGGUUUUGGGGUUCCUUUAAAUGCUAGAGCCGCAGCCAAGAAGGGGGGUAACAACUGACGAAAGAGAGUGGGACGGCUAGGAAAAAUCUGGGACAAAGAAAUAGAGCGGUGGCGGAGACAGAGAGAAAAGAAAAACCAGGGGAAUGAGGAGAGCUUGAGAGGCUAGCGACGGCUGGGAGGUUGAACAGUGGCGAGGUUUUUGAUAGAGAAAGAAACUAAGAAAACGCAGGGCUGUGGGUGGUUGACGGCUAGAAAAGAAAGAGACUAGAGAGAGAGGAGGCUGAGGACGGCUAGGAAAAAGAAACCAGAGAGGAGAAAGGUGCAGCGGCUGGGUCUUGGGAAUCUGGAGCUGACGGCUAGGGUUCUGGACAAGAAAGCUAAGGGUUUCAGAGAAGAUCUGGGGAAGUAAAGGGCGCGUAGAAAGAGAUCUGAAAGGGAGAAAACAGCAGAGGAAAAGGGAAAACGAGGUGCUGCUACCGCUGCAACAAAUCUGCCUGGGCGUUGUUUUUCCCAGAAACCAACGUCACUUUCCUGAGCUUUCCCGUUUGAUUUACUUCACAGACGUUUGCAGGUGACUCUAGCCUUUCUUGCUGCCAUUUUCAUACCAUUUUGUGAAGAUCUGGGGUUCAUUGCAUGAAUUUCCUCCUUGUGCAUGCAUGUUUGUUCCCUUUCUUUGUGGUUUCAUCUCUGGUUCUUUGUAGAAACCCGUGUGGCCAUGUGGUAACUUGUUUCAGCUCUAUAUCUCUGUGUUUGAAUCGUGUGUUGUUAUAGUUCAUGAAAACCCAGGGUAUAGGAAUCAUUUCCAGCCUCCCCUUAGUCGAUGAUUAGUCUUCAUUUUGCCGAAAGGAGGUUGUAGA
rnacentral:lncRNA from 1 species